rnacentral:sRNA from 1 species
AAAGAGAUCUUUUAAGUUGAAUUGGAUAUUAUUUAAAUUUGUGUAGUUUCAGGCAUUAUGAAAGUGCAUUUGCCAAAAUGUUACAAUCUGUUGUUUCACCCCCUGAAAAUGCUCUUAAACUUUAAAAAAUUGUACAGAUAUUUGUAAACAAUAAGUAUGUAAUAUUUGUACAUUUCUUUGUUUCUUUUUUAUGAUGAUUUGUUUGGUUUUUAGACGCAAAAAUUUGCUCAUUAUCUCCUUAGUAUGAUAAGGGGGAAAAAAUGAAGACUUGAAAUUCUUUGGCAUGAAUGUGUGUAUGUUACAUAAUCAUGGUCUAGUCUGAAUGUUGCUACAGUAUGUUUUCGUACUAUAACCAUUGUAUCAUAUUCUACAUGUUCACUAUAACACAAUACAUUUCAAAAUGUGUUAUAUUUUAUUUGUUAUCCAUAACUACUACAGAUAAGUAUAUAUAAAUAUAUAUAGGUGCUUACACAACAGUAAACUAUUUCUAAACUG